rnacentral:rRNA from 1 species
AGUGAACGCUGGCGGUAGGCCUAACACAUGCAAGUCGAACGGCAGCACAGGAGAGCUUGUUCUCUGGGUGGCGAGUGGCGGACGGGUGAGGAAUACAUCGGAAUCUACUCUGUCGUGGGGGAUAACGUAGGGAAACUUACGCUAAUACCGCAUACGACCUACGGGUGAAAGCAGGGGACCUUCGGGCCUUGCGCGAUUGAAUGAGCCGAUGUCGGAUUAGCUAGUUGGCGGGGUACAGGCCCACCAAGGCGACGAUCCGUAGCUGGUCGGAGAGGAUGAUCAGCCACACUGGAACUGAGACACGGUCCAGACUCCUACGGGAGGCAGCAGUGGGGAAUAUUGGACAAUGGGCGCAAGCCUGAUCCAGCCAUACCGCGUGGGUGAAGAAGGCCUUCGGGUUGUAAAGCCCUUUUGUUGGGAAAGAAAUCCAGCUGGCUAAUACCCGGUUGGGAUGACGGUACCCAAAGAAUAAGCACCGGCUAACUUCGUGCCAGCAGCCGCCGCGG